UACGUAGGCAGCGAGCGUUGUUCGGAGUUACUGGGCGUAAAGGGUGUGUAGGCGGUUGUUUAAGUUUGGUGUGAAAUCUCCCGGCUCAACUGGGAGGGUGCGCCGAAUACUGAAUGACUAGAGUGCGGGAGAGGAAAGUGGAAUUCCUGGUGUAGCGGUGAAAUGCGUAGAUAUCAGGAGGAACACCGGUGGUGUAGACGGCUUUCUGGACCGUAACUGACGCUGAGACGAAAGCGUGGGUAGCAAACAGG
rnacentral:rRNA from 1 species